UGGGGAAUAUUGGACAAUGGGCGAAAGCCUGAUCCAGCCAUGCCGCGUGUGUGAAGAAGGUCUUCGGAUUGUAAAGCACUUUAAGUUGGGAGGAAGGGCAGUUACCUAAUACGUGAUUGUUUUGACGUUACCGACAGAAUAAGCACCGGCUAACUCUGUGCCAGCAGCCGCGGUAAUACAGAGGGUGCAAGCGUUAAUCGGAAUUACUGGGCGUAAAGCGCGCGUAGGUGGUUAGUUAAGUUGGAUGUGAAAUCCCCGGGCUCAACCUGGGAACUGCAUUCAAAACUGACUGACUAGAGUAUGGUAGAGGGUGGUGGAAUUUCCUGUGUAGCGGUGAAAUGCGUAGAUAUAGGAAGGAACACCAGUGGCGAAGGCGACCACCUGGACUGAUACUGACACUGAGGUGCGAAAGCGUGGGGAGCGAAACAGGAUUAGAUACCCCCGUAGUCCCUGAGCGGGCUGGCAAGGCGCAU
rnacentral:rRNA from 1 species